UACGAAGGGGGCUAGCGUUGCUCGGAAUCACUGGGCGUAAAGGGUGCGUAGGCGGGUCUUUAAGUCAGGGGUGAAAUCCUGGAGCUCAACUCCAGAACUGCCUUUGAUACUGAGGAUCUUGAGUCCGGGAGAGGUGAGUGGAACUGCGAGUGUAGAGGUGAAAUUCGUAGAUAUUCGCAAGAACACCGAGUGGCGAAGGCGGCUCACUGGCCCGGUACUGACGCUGAGGCACGAAAGCGUGGGGAGCAAACAGG
rnacentral:rRNA from 1 species